GCCACCUUCUCCUUUUUCUUCAUGUUUCGUUUGUUUCUAGUUUAAUAUAGACAACUACUUGAUUUGAUCAUUAAUGAUUUUUCUCAUUUUUGGUGCUUAGUGAUGAUUAUUUGUUUUUGUAAAGCUAAUAAAAUGAUUUGAUAAUGUAAAUAUUCUCUGUUUUGAUUCAAGUCUCUUGGAUGUUCAUAGAUUUUGAGCUCUUUGAUUGCUAUUAUAGAGAUUUUU
rnacentral:misc_RNA from 1 species